rnacentral:lncRNA from 1 species
GACACAAGAAACACCACAUUCAAUGAUUAGUAGGAGCCCUUUGUAUCGCUGUGAGGUUGGACAUACUCCAGAAUGUUCUCUAAAGGUGGUUCCAUCUUCUUGCUAAUUAAAGACUGGAAUGAAUGGCUUUAUCUACGUAUUCUGGAGACCUAAAUGUUGCUUUCAGGAAGAUGACUGGCUGCUUACAAGAGGAGUAAUGGGAAGUACAGUGACAAAACUUCCAUUAUAUAGGAAAAAUAAGUCCCAAAUCUCAGAGUAGGCAAGAAGUUUCCCUGUCAGACUCAGUAUCUUUCUAGAUCCCACUUCCUCCAUUGCUGUCCCCUACUACCUUACUGUCCAUUUAACUUCAUUGUAGACCCUGCUGUUUCCCUCCCAUGUUUCCACCCCGUACUUUGAUAUUACACUUAAUGACAUCAUGAUUUUUUUUUAAUCAACACCCUGGUCUCUUGAUUGCUUAACCUUUUGACUUCCAAUGACCUUCACUUCAACCGCAUUGUAGGAGGAGCCUACAAACUUGGAUCACAGUAUAAAGCAGAAUUGAUUUAUCUCCAGUGCCCAAAAACAAAACACUUCUUUCAGAGGAAUCUUUGAUUCAUUGUAAGAUCUGAAAUAAAAGUAUAUUUAAGACAGAAUUGAGGCAUAAUCAAAUGUAUAAGAGAAUUAUCUUAAAUUUUAAGAAUUUACUUUGAAAUAAAGCAAACCGAAUGAAUAGCAUUGAUCAAAAGUAGAAGUGACUCAUGGUAGGAAACUAAAGUCAUCAUGAAAGGGAGGAAGAGAGGAAAUCUAAAACCAUCUAGACUCUAGCAAGAUCAUGAGGACGCUUCCCAGAAUGGUGAAGCCAUGUUCUGACCCUUUAAUUUUUUCCUGGUAGAAUUUCUGCAUAUACAUAUGCAGCAACAUCAAAUACUG